CAGCAGCCGCGGGAAUACGGAGGAUCCAAGCGUUAUCCGGAUUUAUUGGGUUUAAAGGGUGCGUAGGCGGCCUGUUAAGUCAGGGGUGAAAGACGGUAGCUCAACUAUCGCAGUGCCCUUGAUACUGACGGGCUUGAAUACACUAGAGGUAGGCGGAAUGUGACAAGUAGCGGUGAAAUGCAUAGAUAUGUCGCAGAACACCAAUUGCGAAGGCAGCUUACUAUGUGUCAUUGACGCUGAGGCACGAAAGCGUGGGGAUCAAACAGGAUUAGAUACCCCAGUAGUCCCUGUCUCUUAUACA
rnacentral:rRNA from 1 species